UGCCAGCCGCCGCGGUAAUACGGAGGGUGCAAGCGUUGUUCGGAAUUAUUGGGCGUAAAGCGCGUGUAGGCGGUUCGUUAAGUCUGAUGUGAAAGCCCGGGGCUCAACCCCGGAAGUGCAUUGGAAACUGGCGAACUUGAGUACGGGAGAGGAAAGUGGAAUUCCGAGUGUAGGGGUGAAAUCCGUAGAUAUUCGGAGGAACACCAGUGGCGAAGGCGGCUUUCUAGCUUAUUCCUGACGCUCAGGCCCGAAAGCUAGGGGAGCAAACAGGAUUAGAUA
rnacentral:rRNA from 1 species